rnacentral:rRNA from 1 species
AGUGGGGAAUAUUGCACAAUGGGGGAAACCCUGAUGCAGCCAUGCCGCGUGUGUGAAGAAGGCCUUCGGGUUGUAAAGCACUUUCAGCGAGGAGGAAAGGUUGAUGCCUAAUACGUAUCAACUGUGACGUUACUCGCAGAAGAAGCACCGGCUAACUCCGUGCCAGCAGCCGCGGUAAUACGGAGGGUGCAAGCGUUAAUCGGAAUUACUGGGCGUAAAGCGCACGCAGGCGGUUGGAUAAGUUAGAUGUGAAAGCCCCGGGCUCAACCUGGGAAUUGCAUUUAAAACUGUCCAGCUAGAGUCUUGUAGAGGGGGGUAGAAUUCCAGGUGUAGCGGUGAAAUGCGUAGAGAUCUGGAGGAAUACCGGUGGCGAAGGCGGCCCCCUGGACAAAGACUGACGCUCAGGUGCGAAAGCGUGGGGAGCAAA